GCAGGCUCUACCGAAAAGCAUCAGUACCCAAAAACCAGCUCUAAAGAUUGAUAAAGACAACACACAGAUUCUCAGUCAUAGAGGGAUACAGCACGGAAACAGUGACUCCCCCAAGAUUCUGCCAUUCACCUACAGACUAGCGAUGAUUAACCUACCAACUCAGAGGCUUUGUGGUGCGGGAAGAAACAGGAGGAUCAGGAGGAAACCUACAUGGUCACAUGGAGAGCGUGCAAACUCUACACAAGCAGCACCAGAGGAACGUGAGAAGCUGCGGAGAGCAGUGGACUCAGCCCAAUACAUCACGGGCACAUCCCUCUCCACCAUCGGGAGUAUCUACAGGAGGCGCUGCCUCAAGAAGGCAACAUCCAUCGUCAAAGAUCCCCACCAUCUGGGCCGUGCCAUCUUCUUGCAGCUACCAUCGGGCAGGAGGUACAGAAGCCUGAAGUCCCACACCACCAGGUUCAGGAACAGCUACUUCCCUUCAACCAUUCGGUUCUUGAACCAACCGGCACAACCCUAAUCACUACA